ensembl:snRNA U6 U6 spliceosomal RNA
AUGCUCGGUUUGGCAGUACAAAUACUAAAAUUGGAAUGAAAGAGAUUAGCAUGACCCUUGUGCAAGGAUCACAUGCAAAUUUGUGAAGCGUUCAUAUUUAAA